rnacentral:rRNA from 1 species
UACGUAGGGGGCCAGCGUUGUCCGGAGUUACUGGGCGUAAAGCGCACGCAGGCGGUCGACCACGUUUCUGCUGACAGUCUCCGGCUUAACUGGAGAAGGAGUAGGAAGACGGGCUGACUUGAGGGCCAGAGAGGGAGACGGAACUCCGGGUGGAGCGGUGAAAUGCGUAGAGAUCCGGAAGAACACCGAAGGCGAAGGCAGUCUCCUGGCUGGUUCCUGACGCUCAGGUGCGAAAGCUAGGGGAGCAAACAGG